GCAUAUCAAUAAGCGGAGGAAAAGAAACCUACCGGGAUUGCCUCAGUAACGGCGAGUGAAGCGGCAAGAGCUCAAAUUUGAAAUCUGGCCCCUCCGGGGUCCGAGUUGUAAUUUGCAGAGGAUGCUUCGGGAGCGGUCCCCGUCUAAGUGCCCUGGAACGGGCCGUCAUAGAGGGUGAGAAUCCCGUCUGGGAUGGGCGGCCGCGCCCGUGUGAAGCGCCUUCGACGAGUCGAGUUGUUUGGGAAUGCAGCUCUAAGUGGGUGGUAAAUUUCAUCUAAAGCUAAAUACUGGCCGGAGACCGAUAGCGCACAAGUAGAGUGAUCGAAAGAUGAAAAGCACUUUGAAAAGAGAGUUAAACAGCACGUGAAAUUGUUGAAAGGGAAGCGUUGUCCACCAGACUCGCCCGGGGGGGUUCAGCCGGCACUCGUGCCGGUGUACUCUCCCCCGGGCGGGCCAGCAUCGGUUUGGGCGGCUGGUGAAAGGCCCCGGGAAUGUAACACCCUCCGGGGUGCCUUAUAGCCCGGGGUGUCAUGCGGCCAGCCUGGACCGAGGCCCGCGCUUCGGCGAGGAUGCUGGCGUAAUGGUGGUCAACGGCCCGUCUUGAAACACGGACCAAGGAGUCUAACAUCUAUGCGAGUGUUCGGGUGUCAAACCCGUCCGCGCAGUGAAAGCGAACGGAGGUGGGAGCCCCCCGGGGUGCACCAUCGACCGAUCCUGAAGUCUUCGGAUGGAUUUGAGUAAGAGCAUAGCUGUUGGGACCCGAAAGAUGGUGAACUAUGCCUGAAUAGGGCGAAGCCAGAGGAAACUCUGGUGGAGGCUCGCAGCGGUUCUGACGUGCAAAUCGAUCGUCAAAUUUGGGUAUAGGGGCGAAAGACUAAUCGAACCAUCUGGUAGCUGGUUCCUGCCGAG
rnacentral:rRNA from 1 species